rnacentral:rRNA from 1 species
UACGUAGGGUGCGAGCGUUAAUCGGAAUUACUGGGCGUAAAGCGUGCGCAGGCGGUUCGUUGUGUCGGUGGUGAAGGCCCCGGGCUUAACCUGGGAAUGGCCAUGGAAACUGGCGAACUGGAGUGUGGCAGAGGGGGGUGGAAUUCCGCGUGUAGCAGUGAAAUGCGUAGAGAUGCGGAGGAACACCGAUGGCGAAGGCAGCCCCCUGGGCUAACACUGACGCUCGAGGCACGAAAGCGUGGGGAGCAAACAGG